rnacentral:misc_RNA from 1 species
GAUGAAGAACGUAGCGAAAUGCGAUAAGUAAUGUGAAUUGCAGAAUUCAGUGAAUCAUCGAAUCUUUGAACGCACAUUGCGCCCGCCAGUAUUCUGGCGGGCAUGCCUGUUCGAGCGUCAUCUCAACCAUCAAGCCCCCGGCUUGUGUUGGGGACCUGCGGCUGCCGCAGGCCCUGAAAAGCAGUGGCGGGCUCGCUGUCACACCGAGCGUAGUAGCAUACAUCUCGCUCUGGGCGUGCUGCGGGUUCCGGCCGUUAAACCACCUUCAUAACCCAAGGUUGACCUCGGAUCAGGUAGGAAGACCCGCUGAACUUAAGCAUAUCAAUAAGCGGAGGA